UAUCCAAUGUGUGUCUUGUGCUUAUAUGAUUACCUUGAUGUGAUUAGGAACGUAUUCCCAAAUCUCAUUCAUACUCUGGCCAGAGAUUCAAAUCAUAUCAGAGAGUACUCUCCUUCAAGCGGCUUGAAGGUUAGAGAUCCCUUGUUGCGCAUUCACUUGUCUCCAUAGUUAAGUCACUUGACCCCAACGAUGCCGUGGACACCCUCCUGAUGGAGUGACUUUGACAUAAUCAAAGAUCAAGGUCUUAACCACAAGACAACUAUGAUGCCUCAGGUCAAAGGACUAAUUUGCAUUAUCCCAACCAUGAGUUCUCAUGUGACAUGGAAUAUGAUAACCCUUCGUUGAUCGCGUUCAGUGAACUCAUUCUCUAUUGAGCACCUACCGUACUUGUCUUGAUGUCACACACACCAAUGACUCGAGACUAAUCACUCUCCCUGAGAGAAGACAUAGUAGUACUGAUCUUAACGGACUGAUCAACGGACUGUCAAUGCCCAAUUGGCAAUCCUAUGAUCAGGAACGUUUAGGAUGUGUCUACGAAAGAAUGGUCUCAUGAAUCUAACUUCAUUAGAUUACAUUCUCCCAAUCACAUAUUCCUUGGACUUUAUCAUUUAAGCAUAUAACAUUUAUAUGAGACGGCUCAAACAAUAAUCUUUGCCCUUUAUAUGUAAAACUAGAUUAGUUUAACAUGUGAAAUGUCUGUAAAGUAUCAUCACAUGAUUGGCUUUAGGGCACAUUUCCAACAAUCUCCCACUUGCACUAGAGCCAAUCAG
rnacentral:lncRNA from 1 species